AGUUUGAUCCUGGCUCAGGAUGAACGCUAGCGGCAGGCCUAAUACAUGCAAGUCGAACGGGAUUGGAGAGCUUGCUUUCCAUGAGAGUGGCGUACGGGUGCGUAACGCGUAUGCAACCUACCUUCAUCAGGGGGAUAGCCCGAAGAAAUUCGGAUUAACACCGCAUAACAUUAUUGGAUGGCAUCAUUUAAUAAUCAAAUAUUUAUAGGAUGAAGAUGGGCAUGCGUGUCAUUAGCUAGUUGGUGAGGUAACGGCUCACCAAGGCGACGAUGACUAGGGGAUCUGAGAGGAUGACCCCCCACACUGGUACUGAGACACGGACCAGACUCCUACGGGAGGCAGCAGUAAGGAAUAUUGGUCAAUGGAGGCAACUCUGAACCAGCCAUGCCGCGUGCAGGAAGACUGCCUUAUGGGUUGUAAACUGCUUUUAUACGGGAAUAAACCUUGAUUCGUGAAUCGAGCUGAAUGUACCGUAAGAAUAAGGAUCGGCUAACUCCGUGCCAGCAGCCGCGGUAAUACGGAGGAUCCAAGCGUUAUCCGGAUUUAUUGGGUUUAAAGGGAGCGUAGGCGGCCUAUUAAGUCAGGGGUGAAAGACGGUGGCUCAACCAUCGCAGUGCCUUUGAUACUGGUAGGCUUGAAUGUAGUUGAGGUAGGCGGAAUGUGACAAGUAGCGGUGAAAUGCAUAGAUAUGUCACAGAACACCGAUUGCGAAGGCAGCUUACUAAGCUAUGAUUGACGCUGAGGCUCGAAAGCGUGGGGAUCAAACAGGAUUAGAUACCCUGGUAGUCCACGCCCUAAACGAUGAUAACUCGAUGUUGGCGAUAUACAGUCAGCGUCCAAGCGAAAGCGUUAAGUUAUCCACCUGGGGAGUACGCCCGCAAGGGUGAAACUCAAAGGAAUUGACGGGGGCCCGCACAAGCGGAGGAGCAUGUGGUUUAAUUCGAUGAUACGCGAGGAACCUUACCCGGGCUUGAAAGUUACUGAAGAAUUUAGAGAUAGAUUCGUCCUUCGGGACAGGAAACUAGGUGCUGCAUGGCUGUCGUCAGCUCGUG
rnacentral:rRNA from 2 species